UGGAGGAUUAGCUCAGCUGGGAGAGCAUCUGCCUUACAAGCAGAGGGUCGGCGGUUCGAGCCCGUCAUCCUCCACCA
rnacentral:tRNA from 1 species